AAUUGUACAGGUCUGUAAUUGAAGAUGUCAUCAAUGAUGUCAGAGAGGUUUUUCUGGAUGAAGGAGUGGAUGAACAAGUUCUUAUGGAACUCAAAACACUGUGGGAGAACAAGCUGAUGCAGUCCAAGGCUGUAGAUGGCUUCCAUUCAGAAGAGCAGCAGCUUUUGUUGCAGGUGCAACAGCAGCAACAGCAACAGCAGCAACAGCAGCAUCAUCACCACCACCAUCACACACAACCUCAGCCACAGCAGACUGUGCAGCAGCAGUCUCAGCCACAACAGGUCCUUAUUCCAGCGUCUCAGCAAGCACCUCAGCAGCAGGUUAUUGUGCCAGAUUCCAAGCUGAUACCGCACAUGAAUGCGUCGGGCAUGAGUGCUGCAGCCACUGCAGCUACGUUGGCUCUCCCUGCUGGCGUUACUCCUGUUCAGCAGAUACUUACAAAUUCAGGCCAGAUCCUCCAAGUGGUUAGAACUGCAAAUGGAGCUCAGUAUAUCAUUCAACCACAGCAACCGGUUGUUCUACAGCAGCAGGUCAUACCACAAAUGCAGCCUGGUGGAGUACAAGCACCUGUUAUACAGCAGGUUUUGGCUCCUAUCCCUGGAGGGAUUUCCCAGCAGACAGGAGUGAUUAUUCAGCCCCAGCAGAUCCUGUUUACAGGAAAUAAAACACAAGUCAUACCUACAACAGUGGCUGCCCCUACACCAGCUCAAGCACAGAUUCCUGCAGCUGGUCAGCAGCAACCACAACAACAACAGGCACAACCACAAGCACCACUUGUUCUCCAAGUUGAUGGAGCAGGGGACACAUCGUCGGAAGAAGAAGAAGAUGAGGAAGAAGAUUAUGAUGAUGAUGAAGAGGAAGACAAAGAAAAAGAUGGGGGUGAAGAUGGCCAAGUCGAAGAGGAGCCUCUUAACAGUGAAGAUGAUGUGAGUGAUGAGGAAGGACAAGAACUGUUCGAUACGGAAAAUGUUGUUGUGUGCCAGUAUGAUAAGAUUCAUAGAAGUAAAAACAAAUGGAAAUUUCAUCUCAAAGAUGGCAUCAUGAAUCUUAACGGAAGAGAUUAUGUAUUUUCCAAAGCCAUUGGGGAUGCAGAAUGGUGAAGUUUUAAAAGACAAAACAAAAAAAAAACUCCCUGUAAAAGGAAAAAAAAUCAAAAGCAGGAAAGGUUGAGACUUGGACGUAUACUCCAAUCAAAACGUGUAUCUGCACAUCGGAAAUAAACAAACAGAAGUAUUGGAACAAAGGUAAAAUGUGGCAACAAAGACACUACUUCAGAUGAGCAAGCCAUGGACUGUAGCAGCUAUAGCAUUGUCUGGGAGCUGGUUUUGUGUGUUAGGAAUACCUUAAUUAUCAAUUCUACAUACAGUUGCUGGUUAGCGACAAGAUUUCUUUGAGGCUUCAUACUCCUUGUUCCUGCAUUGUACUCACAGGUUGCAUUUGAACAUCAUUCAGUUUCCUAAACAUGAUUUAAAGUGAUAAUUGUGGUCCGAGUUUAUUUCCAAGAAUAUGAUACGUGAUUCUGAAGCACAGUUUCUAGAAAAGAGCAAAGAACACGUUGUGUCGUGUAAUGGAUUUUUUUGAUAAAUGUUUUUUCUAUUUCUGCUGAACAAUUAGGAGUGUUAAAGUAGACUUCAUUGAGUCUGUGAAAAUAAUUCCACUGCUUGACAGUUAGCAGUAAUUAUGUCACCACAUAACACUACCAGAGUAAAAUUUCUUAAUUCCAGUGGAGGAGUUAAAGACCUUGUUAACUAAAGUUCAUUUUGAUUCAAUCUCUUCAAUUUGUAAAAGCUCCUUUAAAAACAAUAAAGCCCCCCCAAAUUUUCCCGAAAGCAAAGCUUCUUCAUAGAAUGCAAUAAGAUGUCCAGGAAGUGAACAGUGGUUUUAGGAUAACGCACACUGGAUUGAUACUGGGCUGCCUUACACAGCUUCGUGGGGUUUGCUGUGUACCACUCCACCCCACCCAUGCACCCCCAACUGAAAUUAGAUUUCUCUUCAGACUUUGAGAUCAGUGACUAUACAAGAUGAAGAAACUUGCAUAUUAUUAUGUAUUGGUGUCUCACAUUUAAAGUCUCAUUUUCUCAUUGCUGUGAUUGGUUGGGAAAUGUGUAAAAACCAGUCUGUUGGUUUCCCUGUUGUCUACUUUUUUCAGGCAGUUCAUGCAGUGUGUCUUUUAAUUAUUAUUUUGUGGACUUGACAUUGUGGAACAAAAGGAGCUUUUUUUUAACAGGAAGGACUACCUUGGGUUAGCUAUAUAUGUACAGUCAUCCAAUGAGACAUGUUCCAGAGUGCAUAGGGUACCAAUAGAUUAUGGAGUGGGGGAAUAUCCUUUUUUGCUGUUCUGAGCUACUAUUGUCAACUGCUGUUGUACAUAUACUGUUAUGUGUAAGGGGGUAAAUAUAUUUAUUAUGUUUGUAAAAUUCAUUCUGUACAAUUGCAGAUCAAGGUUGCUCCUCUGUGAUAUACAGGAUAUUAUGUUUCAAAGGCCAUGCUUGGAAUACGAUUAGAGAACUUAGUAUUUUGAUGUACUAAGACCUAUUUUAAGUUUAAUAUUUUGCCUUUGCAAAAACUUUAAUUAAAGAUGUUAUUUAAAAA